AAUGCGCUAAACUAAAUCUGCUAAAUUUGACAUCUGACAAUAACCGCUCAGACGCAUUC
rnacentral:tRNA from 1 species